CGAAUUCAUUUUCUGCCACCGAAUACAUUAGCAUGGGAUAAUGGAAUAGGACCCUGUCCUCCUAUUUUCAGUUGGUUUUGGCAGCGCGAGGACUAGGGUAAUGAUUAAUAGGGAUAGUUGGGGGCAUUAAUAUUUAAUUGUCAGAGGUGAAAUUCUUGGAUUUAUGAAAGAUUAACUUCUGCGAAAGCAUCUGCCAAGGAUGUUUUCAUUAAUCAAGAACGAAAGUUGGGGAUCGAAGACGAUCAGAUACCGUCGUAGUCUUAACCAUAAACGAUGCCGACCAGCGAUUAGGAGACGUUGAAUACAAAACACCACCAUCGGCGCGGUCGUCCUUGGCGCGUUCGUGUUCACGCACGGGCGCGCGAGGGCGGCUUAGCCCGGUGGCACCGGUGAAUGACUCCCUAGCAGGAGGGGGGGAAG
rnacentral:rRNA from 1 species